AACGAACGCUGGCGGCGCGCUUAACACAUGCAAGUCGAACGAGAAGGCGUAGCAAUACGCUUGUAAAGUGGCGAACGGGUGAGGAAUAUAUGGGUAACCUACCCUCGAGUGGGGGAUAACCCGCCGAAAGGCGGGCUAAUACCGCGUACGCUUCCGAUCUUGCGGGAUCGGAAGGAAAGCUGUCCCAAGGGGAUGGCGCUCAAGGAUGGGCUCAUGUCCUAUCAGCUUGUUGGUAGGGAACGGCCUACCAAGGCAUCGACGGGUAGCUGGUCUGAGAGGACGAUCAGCCACACUGGCACUGCGACACGGGCCAGACUCCUACGGGAGGCAGCAGUGAGGAAUAUUGCGCAAUGGGCGAAAGCCUGACGCAGCGACGCCGCGUGGGGGAUGAAGGUCUUCGGAUUGUAAACCCCUUUCGGGAGGGAAGACGGCCUUAGACAACUAAGGCGGACGGUACCUCCAGAAGCAGCCACGGCUAACUUCGUGCCAGCAGCCGCAGUAAU
rnacentral:rRNA from 1 species